CUCCAGUGGGCAUCCUUUAUCCAUCUAGACCCUCAUACAGAUGGUUGGAGUUUUGAUACACCUAAAGUACCAUGCAAGAGCACUCAUUUUCACUCUUGAGACCAUGGUGUGACCUGCAAGGUCGAAUGGAGACUGUAGACGAGACAAUCUUGGAGUCACCUGCAUUCACUGGUCCAGUUGUUAGUCCAAUUACAGAUGGAGAUUAUAGAAGAGGAUGAUGUCUUUUCUCCAACAUCUUUCUAGACUGAUAAAAGAUCUAGACAGGCUCAAACAAAAGUUAACAGACAGAGGGGCUUAUAUAGAGAAUGGUGAGCAGCUACACAUAAAAGAAGAACAUGGAGAAUCUGCCCAGAGGUGUUAACCAGCAAUGCAGCUAUACAACUAAAUUGAUGCAGGCGGAAACAAUAAUGCAGCUGCUGCAGAUGAAUCCGUCCGUCUACCACUGAAGGAGAUGCGGAAAUUCCUUCCAAGAUGUUCUUUGCCCGAGGAAGCAUUUGAUUAAUUUAAAGAUUUUGUGUUUCUUUGUAUGUUAUAGAAAAACGUUGCUUUUUUUGCAUACACUCGUGUAAAUAUGCAUCUUAUGAAUGUUUUCCUUUGUCUAAUUUUAAUAAAUUUUACGCAAUCAACUGCCUGUUUUAUUGAAAAUACUGUUUUAAUUGUUGUCAAUGAUAUAUUGUAAUAAUAUGUGUGUAUAACUGUGUAGAUGUAGUUUAGAGCAAUUUAUUUUUAAUGAUCUUUUAAUCGUCUUUUAAAGCUCUCAGAAACAUCUUAGAAAGAGCUCGAUUAAAGCUCUUAUAAAGAUCUUUUAAAGAUCUAAGAAACAUCUUGGAAAUAUCUUAGAAAGAUCUGCUAACCAUCAUUUUAAAUAUCAAGCGUCUUGAAAAGAUCUUAAAAGCGUCUUCAAAACGGCUGGGCUCGUACGUCUCAGAUACGUAAUUCAUAUGGGCAAACGACCUUUAUAAUACGUUUUCCAGACGGAAUGGAAAUCUGAGUGAUUACCUCGCAGAUACGUAUCUGA